UGGGGAAUAUUGGACAAUGGGCGAAAGCCUGAUCCAGCCAUGCCGCGUGUGUGAAGAAGGCCUUUUGGUUGUAAAGCACUUUAAGCGAGGAGGAGGAGCUUCAGGUUAAUACCCUGGAUGCUUGGACGUUACUCGCAGAAUAAGCACCGGCUAACUCUGUGCCAGCAGCCGCGGUAAUACAGAGGGUGCAAGCGUUAAUCGGAUUUACUGGGCGUAAAGCGUGCGUAGGCGGCUAAUUAAGUCAAAUGUGAAAUCCCCGAGCUUAACUUGGGAAUUGCAUUCGAUACUGGUUAGCUAGAGUAUGGGAGAGGAUGGUAGAAUUCCAGGUGUAGCGGUGAAAUGCGUAGAGAUCUGGAGGAAUACCGAUGGCGAAGGCAGCCAUCUGGCCUAAUACUGACGCUGAGGUACGAAAGCAUGGGGAGCAAACAGG
rnacentral:rRNA from 1 species